rnacentral:misc_RNA from 1 species
GUUUCGUUACUUUCAUGUCAGCAACCAAACAGUCUUCACAAAAUUCACAAGUGGCCGAUCUGGUCUACUAUUUAUUUUUUUAAUAUUAUUUUAAAAUUAUGAAAAAUUAUUUGAAAAUAAUAUAAUCCAUUAAUCUAAAAUUUUACGUAAAAUAAUCCAUUUUUUAAAAAUUUUAAUUAAAACUAAAUUAAAUGUAAAUAUAAUUUUAAUUAAUUUCAACAUUUAUCAUCCACAUACAAUUCUAAAAAAAUUUAAAAAUUAUUUUUUUAUUAACUCAAACAAAAAAUUAAUAAAAAUAUUUAAAACUUAAAAAGUUAAUAUUUUUUGUUAGCUUAACUAUGCUCCGUAUUUAAGUAAUAAAAAUAAAAUUUAAAAAAUUUAAAUUAUAUGUAAAAUGAUAAUUAAAUUUAAAUAUUAUAUGCAUUCUUAAUUCCUUUUAAAUUUAAAUAUUGCAAUGAUCACUAUAAUAAUAAUAAUAAUAUUAUUAUGAAAGAGAUUUGUUUGAUUACCUCCACUUUUUUCUCUUCCUCCUU